rnacentral:rRNA from 1 species
UACAGAGGGGGCAAGCGUUGUUCGGAAUUACUGGGCGUAAAGGGCGCGUAGGCGGCCAACUAAGUCGGACGUGAAAUCCCCGGGCUCAACCCGGGAACUGCGUCCGAUACUGGAUGGCUUGAAUCCGGGAGAGGGAUGUGGAAUUCCAGGUGUAGCGGUGGAAUGCGCAGAUAUCAGGAGGAACACCGAUGGCGAAGGCAGCUCGCUGGGACGGUACUGACGCUGAGGCGCGAAAGCGUGGGGGAGCGAACAGG